UCCAAUACCUUAACAGAAACUACCUUAAUUAUGAUCCAACUAUAUCCAUGUUGCUGCAGUGUCACCUGCUGGACACUACUAGUACACUAGGAUCAGCUGUACUUCUCUAACUCUGAAAAACCAAGGCAUUUUUCAUCACGUGCAUUCUGAAUAUUUACUUGGAUAAAUAAAUUAUUGCGUUUGCACUUUCACCUUAACCAGGCUUGAGCUGCGUGUGAUUUGAGAGCUAGUACUUUUGACUCUUCGAGGAGGAUGACCGAAGAGUUAUCAGAAGGGCCAAGGCAGCGCCCGAACGCAAGGAAACGCCGGUGGCUAGUCA